CAAGAUAAGAUAUCCCAUCGAAAGAGUAAGACCCCUCUAAGACUAAGAGGUAGAUAGGCAAGAGGUGUAAGUGUAGUAAUACAUUAAGCUAACUUGUACUAAUAGGUCGAGGACUUAACCUA
rnacentral:ncRNA from 1 species